rnacentral:rRNA from 1 species
UACGAAGGGUGCAAGCGUUACUCGGAAUUACUGGGCGUAAAGCGUGCGUAGGUGGUGAGUUAAGUCUGAUGUGAAAUCCCCGGGCUCAACCUGGGAAUGGCAUUGGAUACUGGCUCGCUAGAGUGCGGUAGAGGGUGGUGGAAUUCCCGGUGUAGCAGUGAAAUGCGUAGAUAUCAGGAGGAAUACCGAUGGCGAAGGCAGGUCUCUGGGCUGACACUGACGCUCAUGCACGAAAGCGUGGGGGAGCAAACAGG